rnacentral:lncRNA from 1 species
ACCAUUCAGCCUGAUCCGGAAGGAAGGCCAUGAUUUCAGCUCUCUGGGAUUUGAGACAAAGAGGCCCCUUUUCUUUCAUUUUAUCUUUUCAUGUCUCUUCUUGCCAUGUACCCACAUGAUUGAGUGUGGGCUGAGGGUGAAUCCAAGAAGGGCUUUGUUUUGUGGUCAGUACAGGCUUUGGUCCACAGAGACAACAAUACUUUCAAUACUCUUUUGUUCUGCCCCAGAGGAGCUCAACACAGAAUUGCCUAGAACAAGAAACUGGAAUUGUACAUGGCGAUCAUCAGCAGUAUGAAGAGGAGCUGUGGGGCCAGUGAGAGAAGCUGCAGCCUGUUGAGACUCCACAAGACUGAAGAUAUGAAAAGAGGAAAUAUGCAUGAAUGCCCGCACGGAGAACCACCCCCACCUGCUGCUCCCGCUCUAAUGAUCACGCCCAUUAUCAACUGGGGGAUGGCUCUGUGCCUUGUCCUUGCAUUACAUGGACCAAGAACACUUCACAGGACUCAGAGAGGCAAAAAUAGAUACAAAAGAAGAAGGAAUUACAGAAGAAGUCACAUAACAUUAUUGCCUACAACUGACUGUUUACCUUGAAUACUUGAAGACCAGAAUGAAGAUUCUUGGGGUGAAGAAUUACAGCCUUAGCAUGGAGCAGGCCUCGGUGCAUCGGCUUUCAGCUAGGCAUGCCUGCCAAUGUUCAACGUCCUCCUGGGAUACGGAAGGCACCGUGAUAGACAUCUGGGCAAGUCAACAGGAAGGUGGAUAUCCAAAUCUCUCUCUUCGCAAUGAGUUUCCAGUUAGAUGGAGGAGAGAGUAAUAAAACACAUAACACUGAAGAAUGCAGUUUACUUACAUCUUUUUCUGUUUGACAGAAGACAGUUAUUAGAACCCGAAAGGAAGAAGCUAUACGACUGGGGACACAUGUCUUAGAAGCACACUCAUUAGAUAAAGUGUCGCAUACUCUUUGAUAAGUGACUCAGAACACCCGUGUCCUUCCCAACAUUGGAUGCAAUGCUAAAGACAUGAUGUUGCUCCUGCUGGACCACACCUUGAAGGAAUUGCCUACCCCACCUCACCUCCAAAAUUAAAGUCUUUCGUUUUGACAAAAGUUAAUGAUAAGGUUUGAUGUGCUAAUUUCAGCACCUCCACUUCAUGUCUACACUGUGGACAUAUACUUUUUUGUUGUUUUGGGGUUUUUGUCAUGUUUCACUCACUUUCUCUAUUAUUCUUUAUAGCAGGACUUGCUUUAGAGUCAUUACUUUCUGUUAAAGUUGUUCCUUCAAAAGUUGACAAUUACUGGCUGGGCACGGUGGCUCACGCCUGUAAUCCCAGCACUUUGGGAGGCUGAGGCGGGUGGAUCACCUGAGAUUGGGAGUUCGAGACCAGCCUGACCAACACGGAGAAACCCCGUCUCCAUUAAAAAUACAAAAUUAGCCAGGCGUGGUGGUGCAUGCCUGUAAUCCCAGCUACUCGGGAGGCUGAGGCAGGAGAAUCGCUUGAACCCGGGAGGCAGAGGUUGCAGUGAGCCAAGAUCACGCCACUGCACUCCAGCCUGGGCAACAAAGAGUGAAACUGUCUAAAAAAAAAAAGCUGACAAUUACUUUUCAUUGGCUUCUUCACACCUAACACCUAUCUUUUCACACAAGGCAGAAAUAAAUUGCUAUUAGCUAAUCUGCUAAAUCCACUUAGAAAUAUAAUCAAGAAAAAGGAAAACAUCCUUGUGUCCAAGGCAUUCUG